rnacentral:rRNA from 1 species
GAAUCGCUAGUAAUCGCGAAUCAGCAUGUCGCGGUGAAUACGUUCCCGGGCCUUGUACACACCGCCCGUCACACCAUGAGAGUUUGUAACACCCAAAGCCGGUGGGGUAACCGCAAGGAGCCAGCCGUCUAAGGUGGGACAGAUGAUUGGGGUGAAGUCGUAACAAGGUAGCCGUAGGAGAACCUGCGGCUGGAUCACCUCCUUU